rnacentral:rRNA from 1 species
UACAGAGGUCUCAAGCGUUGUUCGGAUUCAUUGGGCGUAAAGGGUGCGUAGGCGGCUUGUUAAGUCAGGGGUGAAAUCCUGGAGCUCAACUCCAGAACUGCCUUUGAUACUGAAGAUCUUGAGUUCGGGAGAGGUGAGUGGAACUGCGAGUGUAGAGGUGAAAUUCGUAGAUAUUCGCAAGAACACCAGUGGCGGAAAGGCGGCUCACUGGCCCGAUACUGACGCUGAGGCACGAAAGCGUGGGGAGCAAAGCAG